rnacentral:rRNA from 1 species
AAAACGGAGAGUUUGAUCCUGGCUCAGGAUGAACGCUGGCGGUAUGCUUAACACAUGCAAGUCGAACGGAAUCUUAGGAUUUAGUGGCGGACGGGUGAGUAACGCGUGAGAA